rnacentral:tRNA from 1 species
GGCUGUAGCUCAGCUGGAUAGAGUACCUGGCUACGAACCAGGCGGUCGGAGGUUCG